CUACGCCUCUUGGAAAUUAAUUUGUAGAGUUUCAAAUCUAUACUUUUGCUAUUUUUGGAGAUUCAUAGACUUUUGUGUGGCUCGCCUCAACUUGGAAGACUAGAAUUUUUUUGAAGGAUCACAGGUGGGCAUCUUGUGGUUGAGGUUUUGCUUAGGGUCAUUCUAGGAUGUAAGCUUACCCUUUUUUUUAUGAAGGAGGUUGAUUGUAAAUAUUGCUUAUGAAGUUGGAUGUAUUGAUGGAUUCGUGAUUAGUAUGUAUUAUAUUUUUUUGGGGAGGAAAUGCUUGGGAACUAUCUUGUAGCAUGAUAAUACUUUUUUUUGUCUUUGAAUAGAUCAUCUCAUAUAUGUUAGGCAAUUGAAAGGUCUUAUGCACUUUUGGUGAUGUGGUGAUGUGAUGUAAGAAUUAUACAGGAAUUGUGGUGUAAAGGUGCUAUAGCAUUUGAGGUGCACCCUCUUGGCAGGGUUUUGCCUUGCCAAGAUUGGGUCGUUACAUUUUUUGGUAUCAGAGCUCGAGUUAAUAUCUCCCACACGAGUCCAUUGAGCGUUAGAAUGUCUAGAACGGAAUUAAGUUGCAUGCAUCUAAUAAGUAAGUGAUAAGUUGUGCACUUGGGAAUAUAUGUGUUUGUGUAAUAGAUUUAAGUAUUAAAACCAAGAAUUAAGAGUUGUAGGGUAUUUUGUUGCUUAUAAGAGGACCGAAAUGUGUUUGUUUAAUAAGUGUGGUAUUGAGGCUAAGAGCCAAGAACUAUUGAGGAACUUUUUCACAUUAUAAGUAAAUAUUAGUGAGUACAAGUAUAAUGAUCUGCGAGAAUGUAGUAUUAUAAGAACUAAAGGUUAUUUUGGAAUUCGAUGAUUAAGGACUGGGAUAUGUGUGUUCAACAAGUUUAGUGUUGAAGAUAAGCGUUAUUGUGAAAUUUUCUUUUUAUGUUGUAAGGGAAAUGUAAUUUUUGAUCAUAGCACAUUGGUGAGUACAUGCAUAUUGAUUCAUGUGAACACAGUAUUAAACAGAAUUAAAAGUUUUUGAUGGAAGUUAGGAAGGCUAUGUAGUUAAAUGUAAAAUUAGACUAUGAGAACAUUUUAGGAAGUUAAAGUAUUUGAUGAUUAAUGAAGUGUGUCGAACUAUGGUGAUUGAGAGUUAGAAAACUAUUUGAUAUGAAGAUGAUAUGCUAUUUUGAUGAAGGACCUAUUAUAUGAACCAUGGAAGUUCAUACUUAUGUUGAUGACCUUGAAAGUCCGAUUAGAAUCACGUUCGGCCAACAUAGUUUCGAAUCGGAAAUUCUUGAUCAACUUCAUGGAAUGAAUAGGUUGCCCUACCAAUCUCUUUGCAAAAAAAAGAAUUGUUUAAUUAUGGUUGAAUUUGUGAUGUAUGAUUUAGGUUAUCCAAUAUUACCCCGAAUGUUAUCUAUCUUGUCUUGUGACUCUAAGAAAAGAUAAUGAGAAGAAAGAACAAAAUGGAAGUUGAGUCUAUGUUGGAGCAAUUGGGCAAAAUAGAGGAAGUGUUAAGAAAUAUAAUGAAAGCUAGGCAAUAAUGCUAUGGGAAACUGCAAGAUUAUAAGAAAAGUAAAGUGUUAAGUCAAAGAAGGAAUUACAUAAUAUGUUUGAGAAGCAGAGUAUUAAGUGUUAAGCAAAGUUUGGAGUGGUAAGAAAUUUUAAGCAAGAUAUAAGUUCAUUCCCCAAAUGUUCAAUUUGUUGCAAAUAUUAUAACGGGGUAUAUCAUCGAAUUUUAAGAGCAUACUACAAAUAUGGAGAGAUAAAACAACUAACGAAGGAUUAUUUAGGAGUAAUAAAAUUUUAAGGAGAUUUCAAGUCAGCCAGUCAGUUUAAAGAUUAGUUUCUAACCCAAUUGCUAAGUAAAGGAGUACUUUAAGCAUGUGUAUAGAAUUUUGAGUUGUUAUGUCAUAUAUGUUUUGGGAUAUGUGAAUCUUUCCUACCUAAUGUUUGGCAGACAUAAGAUACAUUUACUUGGAUUUUGGAACUCCAUCUGAAAAUGCUAAGAAUAUUAGAGUAUGACCAAGACUUAGAUUUAUUGUAAAGAAGCCUUUAUCUAGUACUACUACUUAGAAGAGUUAUUGCGAAAUGAAAAGCAAGAAAAUAUUUUUGCGGAAGUUAUAAAUGCAUAUUUCUUAAGAACCUCUUAGGACAAAGAAUUUGAAUUGACUAACUUGCAAAGGAUUGAGAAAGACAAAAUUUGGUUUCAAAAUACUUUGAUGAUAGCUUUGAUGCUACUUGAUGGUUGAAGUAAGUUAUAUAUGCAUACAAGAGAAUUGGAAAAUUUAGAAUUUAUUUGCUUAGGCAUUUGGAACCCAAUAUGAGAUUGUUAAGACAAUUAGAAUAAGAUUGUUAUUUCGUGUACCUCAACUAAUUGUGAGUAAAGUGUCCACACGUUAAUUGAUUCAAGACCCAUCCAUUCAUUUGAAGCUAAUUGUUAUAAGAUGAAUAUAUCAUUGGAAAUAUUAUUAUAUAAUAAUAAAUAACUAAAUAAAAAAUGUUUUUUUUCGUUAGUUAGAGUAUUAUAUUACUUGGGAACUUGUACUAUGAUUAUGGUUCGAUAUGGACCCUAGAAUGUAACGUUUUGAGUGAAUGGAUUUUCUAUCUCUCAAGUGGAUGUGAUCAUAUACCUAAGCGAGUCGUCUUUGACUUUUGAGAUUAAAUAGUUAUUUUGUGGAACCAAUGGAGUAAAACCCCAGCCUAUUUGAUUUGUCAAUAAGGCCAUUGUGGUCCGAGUAUUUGUGGACCCAAAAAAAAAA